rnacentral:rRNA from 1 species
UACUGCUAUCGGUGUUCGACUAAGCCAUGCUAGUUAAAUGUUCUUCGUGAACAUAGCGGACUGCUCANUAACACGUGGACAAUCUGCCCUUGGGUUCAGCAUAACCCCGGGAAACUGGGGAUAAUUCUGAAUAGAUCACAUAUGCUGGAAUGCUUUGUGAUUAAAAGAUCCGUCGCCCAAGGAUGGGUCUGCGGCCUAUCAGGUUGUAGUGGGUCUAGAGUACCUACUAGCCAACGACGGGUACGGGUUGUGAGAGCAAGAGCCCGGAGAUGGAUUCUGAGACAUGAAUCCAGGCCCUACGGGGCGCAGCAGGCGCGAAAUCUUUACAAUGCGGGAAACCGCGAUAAGGGGACACUGAGUGCCAGCAUAUUAUGUUGGCUGUCCACCUGUAUAAAUCACAGGUGUUAGCAAGGGCCGGGCAAGACCGGUGCCAGCCGCCGCGGUAACACCGGCGGCCCGAGUGGUAGCCACUAUUAUUGGGUCUAAAGGGUCCGUAGCCGGUUUGAUCAGUCUUCCGGGAAAUCUGACAGCUCAACUG